rnacentral:rRNA from 1 species
UACGUAGGCAGCGAGCGUUUGUUCGGAGUUACUGGGCGUAAAGGGUGUGUAGGCGGUUGCUUAAGUUUGGUGUGAAAUCUCCCGGCUCAACCGGGAGGGUGCGCCGAAUACUGAGUGACUAGAGUGCGGGAGAGGAAGUGGAAUUCCUGGUGUAGCGGUGAAAUGCGUAGAUAUCAGGAGGAACACCGGUGGUGUAGACGGCUUUCUGGACCGUAACUGACGCUGAGACACGAAAGCGUGGGUAGCAAACAGG